rnacentral:rRNA from 1 species
AACGAACGCUGGCGGCAUGCCUAACACAUGCAAGUCGAACGAAGCCUUCGGGCUUAGUGGCGCACGGGUGCGUAACGCGUGGGAAUCUGCCCUUUGGUUCGGAACAACAGUUAGAAAUGACUGCUAAUACCGGAUAAUGACGUAAGUCCAAAGAUUUAUCGCCAAAGGAUGAGCCCGCGUAAGAUUAGGUAGUUGGUGGGGUAAUGGCCUACCAAGCCGACGAUCUUUAGCUGGUCUGAGAGGAUGAUCAGCCACACUGGGACUGAGACACGGCCCAGACUCCUACGGGAGGCAGCAGUGGGGAAUAUUGGACAAUGGGCGAAAGCCUGAUCCAGCAAUGCCGCGUGAGUGAUGAAGGCCUUAGGGUUGUAAAGCUCUUUUACCAGGGAUGAUAAUGACAGUACCUGGAGAAUAAGCUCCGGCUAACUCCGUGCCAGCAGCCGCGGUAAAGUACAGUGU